AGCUAUAASUUCUCUGUAUCGCAGCUAACGCAAUAAGCACUCCGCCUGGGGAGUACGACCKCAAGGUUGAAACUCAAAGGAAUUGACGGGGGMCCGCACAAGCGGUGGAGCAUGUGGUWUAAUUCGAAGCAACGCGAAGAACCUUACCAGGUCUUGACAUACUCGUGCUAYUCCUAGAGAUAGGAAGUUCCUUCGGGACACGGGAUACAGGUGGUGCAUGGUUGUCGUCAGCUCGUGUCGUGAGAUGUUGGGUUAAGUCCCGCAACGAGCGCAACCCCUAUUGUUAGUUGCCAUCAUUAAGUUGGGCACUCUAACGAGACUGCCGGUGAUAAACCGGAGGAAGGUGGGGAUGACGUCAAAUCAUCAUGCCCCUUAUGACCUGGGCUACACACGUGCUACAAUGGAUGGUACAACGAGUCGCGAGACAGUGAUGUUUAGCUAAUCUCUUAAAACCAUUCUCAGUUCGGAUUGUAGGCUGCAACUCGCCUACAUGAAGUCGGAAUCGCUAGUAAUCGCGGAUCAGCACGCCGCGGUGAAUACGUUCCCGGGCCUUGUACACACCGCCCGUCACACCACGGGAGUUGGGAGUACCCGUAGUAGCUAGCCUGCC
rnacentral:rRNA from 1 species